GAUGAACGCUGGCGGCGUGCCUAAUACAUGCAAGUCGAACGCUUCACUUCGGUGAAGAGUGGCGAACGGGUGAGUAAUACAUAAGUAACCUGGCAUCUACAGGGGGAUAACUGAUGGAAACGUCAGCUAAGAUCGCAUAGGUGUAGAGAUCGCAUGAACUCUAUAUGAAAAGUGCUACGGGACUGGUAGAUGAUGGACUUAUGGCGCAUUAGCUGGUUGGUAGGGUAACGGCCUACCAAGGCGACGAUGCGUAGCCGACCUGGGAGGGUGACCGGCCAAACUGGGACUGAGACACGGCCCAGACUCCUACGGGAGGCAGCAGUAGGGAAUUUUCGGCAAUGGGGGAAACCCUGACCGAGCAACGCCGCGUGAAGGAAGAAGUAAUUCGUUAUGUAAACUUCUGUCAUAGAGGAAGAACGGUGGAUAUAGGGAAUGAUAUCCAAGUGACGGUACUCUAUAAGAAAGCCACGGCUAACUACGUGCCAGCAGCCGCCGUAACAC
rnacentral:rRNA from 1 species